GAGACUGCAGAGUUCUUUCCAGAACCGUCUGCCUGUGGGAGCUCUUUCUUGGCAGUUUUAAUCCAAGAGGCUGUGAUAGGUCGAGAGGAUUGGGGCACCUUAUGAUCCUAAGUGGGUACCCAGCCUCCUAUCAGCCCUCCCAGCCACACUCAAAGGCCGUGGGGAACGUGAGUUUUUCCUCUUGCUGAAGUCCUCCUGUUGCAGGUUCACUUCAGUGGGUUUUGAUCACCAGACCUGCAAUGGGUGAAGAUGAGCCAGGGAGUCGGUGGUUUCUCUGGAUUGGAUUCUUUCUUACUUCAAUGCUGGCUCCUUGGUAUUGGCCUCCGAAGCCUCAGGAACUGCAAGUCAAUACAGAUUACUCACUCUCAGGACAUUUCAACCUUCUGUCAUACACCCAGCAUUCUUGUAGCGUGAGAGAGCUACAGAUGAGGAUUAAAUGCCAUUCAUUCCUUCACCAAACUUGUGGAAUAUCAGCUGUACACCCAGACAAAUGCAAGUGAUAUGGAGCUAUAAAAGGAUAUCGUUUUUAA